rnacentral:rRNA from 1 species
AACGAACGCUGGCGGCAGGCCUAACACAUGCAAGUCGAGCGAACCCUUCGGGGUUAGCGGCGGACGGGUUAGUAACGCGUGGGAAUAUACCCUUUGGUACGGAAUAGCCUCGGGAAACUGAGAGUAAUACCGUAUGUGCCCUUGGGGAAGAUUAUCGCCAAAGGAUUAGCCCGCGUUGGAUUAGAUAGUUGGUGGGGUAAUGGCCUACCAAGUCUACGAUCCAUAGCUGGUUUGAGAGGAUGAUCAGCAACACUGGGACUGAGACACGGCCCAGACUCCUACGGGAGGCAGCAGUGGGGAAUCUUAGACAAUGGGCGCAAGCCUGAUCUAGCCAUGCCGCGUGGACGAUGAAGGCCUUAGGGUUGUAAAGUCCCUUUCAGAUGGGAAGAUAAUGACGGUACCAUCAGAAGAAGACCCCGGCC